rnacentral:sRNA from 1 species
CUAAUAGAGCUGUUUGAUUCCCUUCCUAGACACAAGAAGAAGUUUAAGAUAAAAUAUAUCAUCCCACUGAGUUACCUCUGGAUUUGUGACUAUGCAGACCUUGUGGGAGGAGACAACAGGACUGCCUCCAAGUCCAUCUUCCUUUGCUGGCCCAUGGAAAAUUUUGUGGCCACCUUCUGUACCAAGGAACAGAAAAAAUGGUGGUGGUUUUUCCUCCAAAGAUACAUCAAUGAGGCCAAGAUGAAUGGCGAGAGUAAGAGUGCUGCACUGCAGAUGGUCACAGAGGACAUCCGACGCUGCACCAGCGCAUGCGCCUAGACAUCUGCUGCUGUCUUUGCCCAAUCCAGAGGAAGACUCCCAUUUAUUCCCUCCAGGAUAAAUAAAAUAUUAUUUGUGUUGAGAA